rnacentral:lncRNA from 1 species
AGUCCACCCCACCCCCACUCCCCACUUUGGGUACAAAAACCAGAAAAGCCCAGGCGAACGGCAGGAGGAGCAACAAUGGCAAUGGUCUUUCACUGAGGGCUGCAGCCCCACCAGACAGUCAUCUCCAUGCAGCCAUCUGCUCCACAUCCAGAAUGUAGAAAACUGCAAAGAACAUUGCUCCCACACUAACAAUGAGAACAGUCAGGUAAUCCUCAACGCCACUGGAGAGGUGAAUCACAGGGGAACAAAGUGAACUGAAUUCCAAAAAGGAUGGGCCCCUUCAAGCAGAGAGAGAGCACAUGAACUGCUUUAUUUUUGACAGGUGUCAAAGAAAAAAAUAUUCAAUAACACUUGUGUCUUUUUUG